GGCAAAACUCCAAGCUCUUGAUCUAUCCUUCAACAGCCUGAUUGGAUCUAUACCAACUUCACUUGGAAACUUGAGUUCACUCUUGUGGUUAAUGCUUGCCAACAAUUCUCUAACAGGUGAAAUUCCUCGAGAACUGGGAAACUGCGGCAGCUUGUUGUGGUUAAACCUUGCCAACAACAAGCUUUCUGGGAAUAUCCCAGCUGAACUGGUGAACAUGGGCAGCAAUCCCGCACCAACGUUCCAGUCAAAUCAGCAGAAUGAAGGCAUAAUCGCUGGGUCUGGAGAGUGUUUAGCAAUGAAGAGGUGGAUUCCAGCAGACUAUCCUCCAUUCAGUUUUGUAUAUACCAUCCUCACACGUAAGAGUUGCAGAAGCAUAUGGGAUAGGAUACUUAGAGGGUUUGGCCUUUUCCCUGUGUGUGCUGCAGGCUCUACAGUGAGAACGCUUUCAAUCUCAGGUUAUCUUCAACUAAGCGGAAACCAGCUUUCUGGUGUGGUCCCUCAAAACAUUGGCAAGAUGAAGAGCUUCAGUUUAUUGCAUUUGGGUUCCAAUGAGAUUAAUGGGACAAUCCCUCCACAGAUUGGACAGUUGCCACUUGUAGUGCUAAACCUCAGCAAGAAUGGAUUUUCUGGUGAAAUUCCAACUCAAAUUGGGAAUAUCAGAUGCUUACAGAAUCUUGAUUUGUCUUACAACAAUAUCUCUGGCGCCUUUCCUGUAAUCUUGAACGACUUGAAUGAGCUUAGCAAGUUCAAUAUCUCAUACAAUCCAUUGAUUUCUGGUGUUAUCCCAUCAACUGGACAAUUGGCUACUUUUGAAAAAGAUUCUUACUUUGGUGAUCCACUCUUGGUCCUUCCAAAAUUUAUCAACGAUUCAUCGGAUUUCCCACCCAAAGAUAGGAAGACUGACCUCAAUAGGAGAGACCAUAUAAGGUGGGCUGGACUUUUGGCGUCCUUAACACUGAUUCUAGCUUUCUUAGUCUGCGGAGUUCUGCCAAUUGUAGUGUGGAUUUUAGGGAAAAGUCCACCAGACUCACCCGCAUAUCUCUUGCAAGAAACCAAAUACCGGCAUGACUUGGCAUCAAGUUCAGGCGGCUCAUCUCCAUGGUUGUCAGAUACGAUUAAGGUCAUCCGUUUGGACAAAACAACAUUCACUCAUGCUGACAUUUUGAAGGCAACAGGUAAUUUUUCAGAGAGCAGAAUCAUUGGGAAGGGAGGAUUUGGAACGGUGUAUCGAGGUUUAUUGCCUGAUGGAAUACAAGUAGCAGUUAAGAAGCUGCAAAGGGAAGGUACUGAAGCUGAAAGAGAGUUUCGAGCUGAAAUGGAAGUCCUAAGUGGGAAUGGCUUUGGCUGGCCACAUCCAAAUCUUGUAACACUUUAUGGGUGGUGCCUUGAUGGUUCAGAGAAAAUAUUGGUUUAUGAGUACAUGGAAGGUGGAAGCUUGGAGGAUCUUGUAUCGGAUAGAAUGAGGCUAACAUG
rnacentral:misc_RNA from 1 species